AUUACAACCAAGUGCCUCAAUUUAUCUUAUCAGCGUCCGGAUCUUAUCUUCUUAUGCUAUAUACAAAAAUAAGCUAUAGGCGUUGAUACAAGAAAAGAAAGACAACUUUAUGAAAUGUGAUGUAGUAUAAAUGACCGAAAUCUACAAAAGUACAGUACAGGUUUCCUGGAUUUCUCUUGGCGCUGAUCAUGCUUCCUGUAUCAUGGCGAAGCGAAGGAGAUGUGUUGCAUGUUAAAUGAGCAGUUAUCGGAAAGGAUUGGACACGACAUGGUGUGUAAAAGAACGCAUUUCGUUUGUGGCAUCGACUGUUCUUUUGUAUGCUGACAACAAACUGAGAAAGUACCGAAGUGAAGAUACUGCUCCUGAAAGCUGUAUAUGAAUAAAUUUCGGUUGUUUUAAAAUAGUACACGUGUUUGUGACAUCUAGACACAACGUUCAGGAUGAGAAAUAAAUUUUAUUUUUCAAAUUUGA